rnacentral:rRNA from 1 species
ACUGCUCAGUAACACGUGGAUAACAUGCCCUAAGGUGGGGGAUAAUCUCGGGAAACUGAGGGUAAUACCCCAUAGGUCUGAUAUGCUGGAAUGCUUUCAGGCCGAAAACUCCGGUGCCUUAGGAUUGGUCUGCGGUCUAUCAGGCUGUAGUGGGUGUAACGGACCCACUAGCCCGUGACGGAUAUGGGCCUUGAGAGAGGGAGCCCAGAGAUGGACUCUGAGACAUGAGUCCAGGCCCUACGGGGCGCAGCAGUCGCGAAAACUUCGCAAUGGGGGCAACCCCGACGAGGGAAUUCCAAGUGCCAGCACUUUGUGUUGGCUGUUCUCUUGUCUAAAAAACAGGAGGGGUAAGGGGCGGGUAAGACGGGUGCCAGCCGCCGCGGUAAUACCCGCGCCCCAAGUGGUGGUCGAUAUUAUUGAGCCUAAAACGUCCGUAGCCGGUCUUCUAAAUCCUUGGGUAAAUCGGGCAGCUCAACUGUCCGAACCCCGGGGAGACUGGGAGACUUGGGACCGGGAGAGGUCAGAGGUACUUCUGGGGUAGGGGUAAAAUCCUGUAAUCCUGGAAGGACCACCGGUGGCGAAGGCGUCUGACUAGAACGGAUCCGACGGUGAGGGACGAAGCCCUGGGGCGCAAACGGGAUUAGAUACCCCGGUAGUCCAGGGUGUAAACGCUGCGGGCUUGGUGUUGGGGGUCCUUAGUGGGCGCCCAGUGCCGGAGAGAAGUUGUUAAGCCUGCUGCUUGGGGAGUAUGUCCGCAAGGAUGAAACUUAAAGGAAUUGGCGGGGGAGCAC